CAUUCUUCUUAGCCACCUGAUUCUAUCACCCACCUCUUCCCUCCAAUGAACUGGGAGCAAGGAUGAGAGGCUGCCAUCUGACCUAUGAAUUCCUCACAGACUGCUAUCAAAUGUUACACAGGACAUAAUAGUCUGCUGAAGUUGUGGCAGAUGUGUGCAGCAGACACAGCCAAGCAAGUUUCACAGGAGCAAGCUCAGAAAAAAUCGAGCUUUGACAGCAAAAAAGGGUCGGCAGAACACCAUCACUGCUGCUCUCCAUGUCAACAAGGCUAACUGGGUUACCACAUUAGAGUGGAAGAAUGCCUGGAAUAAUGUCCAAUAUAGAUUUACAGAAUCAGUUCUCAGUCUUUUCUCACCUUGUGAAGACAGGUUUAUCUGUUCAGAUGUAGCCCAGAGACAGAUUUUUCUCUUCACAAAGUAGAAAAUUGAAUUAUUCUAUCUGAGUGCUCUCCUUUUCCUGCUCUCUCAUCCUCUCGACUUUCUGCAAGCAACGGAGUAAUCAUUAAAAAUACAUGGAGCCUGCAAAAGAAAAAAAGAAAAAAAGAAAAAAAGAAAAAAAGAAAAAAAAAAAAAGCUUGUAUAAAGCUAAUAGAAAGGUUU
rnacentral:lncRNA from 7 species